GCAGACUAAAAAUAAUUAAUCACACAACAUGAAGUUUGACAAGAACUCUGAUAGGAAAUGUGAAGAGUUGCCUGGUAUCUGUGGCACUUAAGAAAGGUUUCUUAGGGGUUCAAAGGAGGGCCACAAGUUCUAUGGACAGACGUCUGCUACUUCCCUGCUUCAAAAGACUAUAUCAUCAUACUUGAGUACAAGUGCCAGAGGAAUGCAACCCUCUGAGGAACAUCCUGGCUCCAACUAAACCACUGACUUCACAAAGAAACUUCAAUAGCUCAUCAUGGUACUCAAAAACUCUUCCUCCUUGAGAUGGACAAAGUUGCAUCUAAGCCUAAACUUGAUUAUGUGCGGCAGCACAUUUUUCCUCACAUUCAAAUGUAGAAGCAGAGUAAAACAGCACAGUUUACCCUCUCUGAAUCCCAUAUCUUAUUAUUGUUUCUUAUUUGAAUAUGAAGGCAUAUUAUGCAUCUAAUAUUAUACAAGACGUGAAAUGAUGAAAGAAUAUCCCCAACCUCCAAACCAUGGGGAUUUGGGGAGGUUUAAUACAAGACCUCUUAUCUGACACAAUGACACAAUCAGGAUUUAUAUAGCAUCAUUAAGUGAAAAGUCAUUUAGUGUAGGAAAUAUAUGUGUACAUACACACAAACACAUUGUAUUUUAACUUAAUAUUGUUGAAUAAUAUUAUAUUUAAAUUUUCAGUGCCACAAAAGGAGUAGCACUGGAAUAUAAAUUCUCUCAGCAAGGCAAACUUACUUCUAUAGAAGGGUAUGUUGCACAGAUGGAGCAAUGACGAGUGCACGUCUGGACAAGGGAGGAGAAGGGGUUCUUAUUCCUGAUGCAGGUAGCCCCUACUGCUAUGUUGCUCGCCUAUUGGCUAGGGAUAGACUUCACAGUCUAAGCUAAUUUCGAUUGGUUAUUUUAAAGAGAGCAGGGGUAUGAGCCAGACUGGCGGGGUGGGUAGUUUGGCAGGAAGGACAGUAAUGGGACGGGUGAGAGGAGGUGACCAGGGAUGACUCAGGUCAAAGCAGGUGACCAAGGCAGGUGACUGGAGCAGGUGACUGGGAUGACUCAGGACAGAACAGGGAACCAGGAGAAUAGGAUGUUGUCAGGCUUCCAUGUGCAAGUCCAGACCCAGAAAAUCUAAAGUCCUGCCUGCCUCAGCUGAUCACCCUUACACCCCUACCCCACCCCUGCCUGCUAGCUGUUAUCCUGCUCUCUUUAAAAUAGCAAAUCAAAACUGAACAUCAUUCAUAAUGUUUUGAGGAAGAUUAUUUGAGAUGAUUUUUGCAAAAUGAUUAAGAAAUUUGCAGUUAUUGUAAAUGGUCAAGUUUUUCAAAUCUAGUACCCCUACUUAGUGCUAUCUAUGUGACCUGCUAUUUUUCAUGUCUUGGCAAUUUUCUCUUUUCACAUAUCUUCGUUAGUAUUUCUGAAAACAUCUGCUUUGUCUUUCAUCCUUUUUGACAGAUGCAGAUGAGUAAUCACUAAUUAGAUGGUAAUAAAGACCAUGGAAGUCCCCCUUAUCCACAGAGAAUACAUUCCAAGACCCCAGUGGAUAACUGAGACCUUGGAUAGUAUCAAAGCCUAUAUAAUAUAUUAUGCUUUUCUUGCUUACAUACCUAUGAUAAAGUUCACUUUUAUAAAUUAGGCACUGUAAGAGAUUCACAACAAUAACAAUAAAAUAGAACAAUUACGUCAAUAUUCAGAAUGGCACACAAUUUAAAACUUAUGAAUUGUUUGUUUUUAAAAUUUCAUCUAGUAUUUUCAGACUGCAGUUGACAGUGGGCAACUAAAACCACAGAAAGUGAAACUGCAGAUAAGGGGAACUAAUGUACAACAUGAAGAGUCCUCACUUCUGAUGACUUUAGAUGACGUAAUUGAUCACCAUUGUUCCUUGAAAACAUUGGAUGUUACUUUCUCUAUAGCAUAGAGCCAUACAUUUAUUCUCUUAGUUCUAGACUUGUUUUUAUGAACUUCUGGACCCACCAUAAGUAAACAAGCCUUCUAUUCUUUUAUGCUUCUCUACAGAUACACAGAGAAGUAUUGUCCUGUAUUUUAUUAUUAAUAAACAGUUCAAUUUCCUUCCCUAAAUAAACAAAAAAGUAGGUGAGUUUUUCUCUCAAAUACCGUUAUGUUUUUGGAACAAGCUUUUCAAACGUUUCAUUCUAUAUUCCCAUGACACUCAAACACCACCUGAGUAUAUACAAAAUAAAAUGUUUUUUUGUCUUUUUGGUUUUUUACCAGGAACACAUGCACUUUAUUGAACACAACUGUGGAAAAGUGUGUGAGGGUAAAAGGCUGAUACAGGAUUGGCUGGGGGCAGGGUGAGAAAUGGAAGCUGGAGUAAGUCGGAGACAGGUCAUGAGCAGAGCCUCUGGCCAGGAUGAUUCCUCUGUAUCUACUAAUAGGCUUGCAGAAUCAGUAUUGGGAUGAUGAUCAGCAGAAUGGUCAUGAUGAUACCCAAUAUCAGGGCCCAGAUGUUCAGGCACUUGGCGGUGGAGGCGUAGGCCUGGGCCCCGGUCAGGUCGCCAACCAUUUUUCUGUCCCUAGACUUCACGGAGUAGGCAAACACUAUGAAACCCAGGCAGCAGAAGUUCACGAAGAGGGUGUUGAACAGGGACCAGAUGACAUGGUCGGGCACGGAGGUCUUGCUUCCGAUGUGGAUCACGGUGGAUGUCGGGGGUGCAUGGUUGUGGGGCACCCCCAGCGCAGCCACCUCAUAUUCCUCCUUCAGCAUCUCAUAGUUCGGGGAACGGUUGGUGCUGGCAAGAGUGAAGAAGGUUUGGAUGGUGUGGUCCAUGGUGUCCAGGGAAGAUUCGACAUAAGUUUUUGACAAGUUUAAAAAUGAUAAUAAACAGGACUGGGCACGGUGUCUCACCCUGUAAUCCCAGCACUUUGGGAGGCCAAGGCGGGUGGAUCACUUAAGGUUGGGAGUUCGAGACCAGCCUGAUCAACAUAGAGAAACCCCAUCUCUACUAAAAAUACAAAAUUAGCUGGGUGUGGUGGCGCACACCUAUAAUCCCAGCUCUUGGGGAGGCUGAGGAAGGAGAAUCACUGAAACCCAAGAGGUAGAGUUUGUCGUGAGCUAAGAUCGUACCAUUGUACUCCAACCUGGACAACAAGAGUGAAACUCUGUCAAAAGAAAGAAAGAAAAAAAGAAGAAAAAGAAAAGAAAUCUUAAAAAUAUAUAUAAUAAAUGGAAAUUAUUUAGUGCAAUAUCUGGUGCAUACUAAGCAAGCACUCAAUAUGUAAUCACUACCAGUAUUGUCAUUUCUUAUCAAAGUAUAUACAAAUAAAACAAUUAAAACCUUAUGGAAUGGGAAAGAAGGAUACAUUUAUAGAUGGUUGGUAUAGAUCUAUGAACAACCAUUUUUACUUAUAUAAAACAUUUAAUAUAUUAUGUGGUUUAGAACUUAUUGUGUAUCAAUAGGUGAGAGAAGAGAUUAAUCAAUAAUUAGUUUUCAGAAUGGCUAAUUAACUAUUUUGGAGAAAAUUGUGGGAACACUCCCAUGUGAGACUCCCAAGUAGUGGGUCACACCAUAUGGUUGAGCUUGAUCCCAGACACGGGCCCCCUGUUGGAGGUAGUUGAGCUAUGGGGAAGAAGGACUGCAAGAAGGCUUCUGUGAUAUACAAAAAAUAACAUGAGUUAUUACUCUGUUGUGCUGAUGUGAUGGGAGGCACGGUGUCCACUUUUGGUUCUCACGGUGUCCACUUUUGUUCUCACGGUGUCCACUUUUGUUCUCACGGUGUCCACUUUUGGUUCUCACGGUGUCCACUUUUGGUUCUCACGGUGUCCACUUUUGUUCUCACGGUGUCCACUUUUGGUUCUCACGGUGUCCACUUUUGUUCUCACGGUGUCCACUUUUGUUUCACUAGUCAUUAUAGUUUCUUCUUAAAGUUAUGACUUAAAUCUUCAAAGCAAGCUGAUAGUAAAAAUUGCUUUGUUUAUGUCUUUCCUGCACCUGGACCCUUGAUAUGGUAUUUACAAUACUGCUUGUGACUUAAUGAUUUAUAAUGUAGCCUGUGAUUUUCUUGUGAAAUUCCUGCCCUAGAUAAAUAGUUUCUUUUGAACUUCUAAACUUAGAUAUUGCACCUGGACUCUUGUGAUUGAUAAUUGCACCCCCCGCUUUAAUCUGAUUAUGUAUCUCCCUGUUCCCAGCAUAUUUAUCCAAAAUAUGGUGACUUGUGAUUGUAUUGUAAAACUUUCUGUUCCCACGAAACACUGAUCCUAUGAUGUAAACACUUCUACUUGUAAUGUAUAUAACCAGACCCUGAGUUCAAUAAAGUUGUUGG